GGCCCGUUCGUCUAGGUGGUUAGGACGCCAGGUUUUCAUCCUGGAAAUCAGGGGUUCGAAUCCCCUACGGGCUACCA
rnacentral:tRNA from 1 species